CCCUCGGCCUUCUCACGCGCGGGGCGGCCGGGCGGCCCCCCAUCCUCAGCACCGGCCUCCCGGUCGGCCCCAGCCCUGCCCCCGCCCGCGCCGCUUCCCGGGGCCGCCGGCGGUGCCUCAGUGACGUGCUCGCCGCCGCCGCCGCCGCGGUGCCGCCUGGGAGUUGUAGUCUCUGGCUGCGCGGCCUCGAGGCUGUCCCCUAGCCCCCAGAGCCCCUCUGCCAGCCUUGGGCCGCAGUGGGGACCCCGCGGGGCCGAAGGAAUCCUCCCGGGGAGAUAAGUCUGGCCUCGGACCCUGGGACCAGGUGAGCCGGACGCCUGGAAGAGGGACGGAGGAGGGGGCCAAGCGCUCCUCACAGACCCUGCGGGUCCGCGGCUCAAGGGGAUUGGCAAUGUUUCAGAGGUUGCCCGUGAAUGAAGAGACCGGGUCCAUGGGCGAAGGUGUGGAGCAGAGCCCAGCCACCCCGCGUUGGACAAGGGGACACGAUUUCAGUUUGCAGCCAUGGAGUGAUAGCCUGACUCUACCUCCCUCACCUUUCUCCUGGUACAUGUGCCUUCAGAAAGCAGCGCGGUUAUUCAACACUGCUAUCCCAGAAAGGGAUCAAUCAUUUCUAGACUACGAACUGGAUAAGGAAUCAGGAUGAAAGGGAGAUAGAGACAGCCAGCGAGAGAGGGAAC